CCGCUUCUCUCACUCGGGCCUCGGGCAUCAAGAAUCCCUUUUCUGAAGUUGCCCUCCAGACGAGAGAAUCCGCCCUAUUUUUCUCUGCGACUCUCAAUCCUCGCAGAACAUCAUUGAAUCAAGAUUAUGUUGAUUUUGGUUUCACCUACAUUAAACUUGAGGGAAAGUGUCGUGAUCUUUUAGAGGAUCAAAAGGCAUCAAGAUCUCUUCAACUACCCUUGUGGGGAGGCUUCAUUCUUAAGAGUUGUUGAAUGUUGAGCUUUUCAUUGUCAAUUAAAGCAUCUGCCCCUGCUUCAUCUUCACGAGCACAGACCACAACUGCUUCGCCCGUGUUUGGUGUUCCUACUUCCACUGCUGCAGCUGUAACAAGUUCCAGUUCGAGUACUACUGCUGUUUAGGCAUCAUCAUCCCUGGUAGUAGCUUCUAGUAGUGGUUUCAUUACUGUUUUCUUCAUGCUGCCCUUCACUUCUUUGACUUCCAGUAUCAUCACCCCCUUCUGCCGGUUGACUAUCAUCGGACAUGGGAGCAUCCGAUUGUUGAUUAUGCUGAAGUCUUGAACUCCGGGUUUGCCUUUCAGCGUGAGUGUUUGCUGGAGCAAUACUGCGUAAUUGAGAUAGGAAAUGCUCCUCUACUGCUUGUGCGAUAAUGGUAGCCUGACUACUCCCUGGUGGCUGCUCAUCAUCAAAAUCAAAAUCCGAAAUUGGCCUUAUCAAUUUGCAGCCUGUAUCGAAACAUUCAUUUCACGGGAUGGAUUGUAAUGAAAACUAAUCUCAAUCCCAGCUAUGGCAGCGUCCUCACUCGAUACCCUCUCCUCCAUAUUCUAGAACAGAGCAAUGAACCCUCAAAGGUUCCUUGGGAUCAGACUUAGGAGACUGUCCUUCAAGAACAUGAACGCCAGCAAUUCUGAUAAGCCGUGGCAUUGCAUCUGAGCCUUGUGAAGAGUGACUUUAGAAAGGACUUCAAAGCAGACUUCUGAACUGCAAUGUAAUGAGCAUGACAGCCUUGGAAGUCCCAUCAGAAAAAGCCCAAAUUUCCCCCAUUGGAAGCCUCAAAUUCAACUUCUUGAUUCGUCAGAGAGGGUACCCUCAUCACUAGAGUUUUCCAAGUGGAUGUAAGCAUUAGUCCAAGUUGAAUAAAGGUGUGUAGUAAUAAAAUCUUGAAAUAUAGAAAGUAUAUAUUGGAUUUGAUUCACUUUCCAUAAUAUUAUAUCCUAAAUUUCUUUU